CCUACGGGAGGCAGCAGUGGGGAAUUUUGGACAAUGGGCGCAAGCCUGAUCCAGCAAUGCCGCGUGAGUGAAGAAGGCCUUCGGGUUGUAAAGCUCUUUUGUCAGGGAAGAAACGGUGGAGGCUAAUAUCCUUUGCUAAUGACGGUACCUGAAGAAUAAGCACCGGCUAACUACGUGCCAGCAGCCGCGGUAAUACGUAGGGUGCAAGCGUUAAUCGGAAUUACUGGGCGUAAAGCGUGCGCAGGCGGUUUUGUAAGUUUGUCGUGAAAUCCCCGGGCUCAACCUGGGAAUGGCGAUGAAGACUGCAAGGCUAGAAUCUGGCAGAGGGGGGUAGAAUUCCACGUGUAGCAGUGAAAUGCGUAGAGAUGUGGAGGAACACCGAUGGCGAAGGCAGCCCCCUGGGUCAAGAUUGACGCUCAUGCACGAAAGCGUGGGGAGCAAACAGGAUUAGAUACCCUGGUAGUCCACGCCCUAAACGAUGUCUACUAGUUGUCGGGUUUUAAUUAACUUGGUAACGCAGCUAACGCGUGAAGUAGACCGCCUGGGGAGUACGGUCGCAAGNUUAAAACUUAAAGGAAUUGAGGCGNGAGAGNGCGAGACGACGACGAGGGAGAGG
rnacentral:rRNA from 1 species